ACUCCUACGGGAGGCAGCAGUAGGGAAUCUUCCACAAUGGGUGCAAACCUGAUGGAGCAAUGCCGCGUGAGUGAAGAAGGUCUUCGGAUCGUAAAGCUCUGUUGUUAGAGAAGAACACGUGCUAGGUAACUACUAGCGCCUUGACGGUAUCUAACCAGAAAGUCACGGCUAACUACGUGCCAGCAGCCGCGGUAAUACGUAGGUGACAAGCGUUGUCCGGAUUUAUUGGGCGUAAAGGGAGCGCAGGCGGUCUGUUUAGUCUAAUGUGAAAGCCCACGGCUUAACCGUGGAACGGCAUUGGAAACUGACAGACUUGAAUGUAGAAGAGGAAAAUGGAAUUCCAAGUGUAGCGGUGGAAUGCGUAGAUAUUUGGAGGAACACCAGUGGCGAAGGCGAUUUUCUGGUCUAACAUUGACGCUGAGGCUCGAAAGCGUGGGGAGCGAACAGGAUUAGAUACCCCUGUAGUCCCAUGA
rnacentral:rRNA from 1 species